rnacentral:tRNA from 1 species
UAACUAGUAGCAUAAUGGAAGUGCCAAGAGUUUUGAUCUCUUACGUGCAGGUUCGACUCCUGUCUUUUUAA